rnacentral:rRNA from 1 species
UACGUAGGUCCCGAGCGUUGUCCGGAUUUAUUGGGUUUAAAGGGUCCGUAGGCGGAUCUGUAAGUCAGUGGUGAAAUCUCACAGCUUAACUGUGAAACUGCCAUUGAUACUGCAGGUCUUGAGUAAAGUAGAAGUGGCUGGAAUAAGUAGUGUAGCGGUGAAAUGCAUAGAUAUUACUUAGAACACCAAUUGCGAAGGCAGGUCACUAUGUUUUAACUGACGCUGAUGGACGAAAGCGUGGGGAGCGAACAGG